rnacentral:rRNA from 1 species
UCAAGUUACAAAGGGCGCAGGGCGGAUGCCUUGGCACCAGGAGCCGAAGAAGGACGUGAUAAGCUGCGAAAAGCUGCGGGGAGGAGCAAAUAUCCAUUGAUCCGCAGGUAUCCGAAUGGGGAAACCCGGCAGAAAGAACUUCUGUCACCGUAUGAUGAAUCCAUAGUCAUACGGAGGGAACCCGGCGAACUGAAACAUCUAAGUAGCCGGAGGAAGAGGAAGAAACAUCGAAUCCCUAAGUAGUGGCGAGCGAAAGGGGACGAAGCCCAAACCAAGGAUUUAUCCUUGGGGUAGAGGACCACAUACGAAGAAGCAGUAGGUAGCAGAACGGUUUUGGGAAAGCCGGCCAAAGAGAGUGAAAGCCUCGUAUGCGAAACAGACUGUGAUUCAGUGGUAUCCGGAGUACUACGGGACACGAGAAACCCCGUAGGAAGCAGGGGGGACCACCCCCCAAGGCGAAAUACUACCUGGUGACCGAUAGAGUAUAGUACCGUGAGGGAAAGGUGAAAAGAACCCCGGGAGGGGAGUGAAAGAGAACCUGAAACCCUGUGUCUACAAGCUGCGGAAGAGCGACUAACGCUCGACCGUGUACUUUUUGUAGAACGGUCCGGCGAGUUGCCGUUGCUGGCAGGUUAAGUACUUAAGGUACGGAGCCGAAGGGAAACCAAGUCUUAAUAGGGCGGUAAGUCAGUAACGGCAGACCCGAAACCGGGUGACCUACCCAUGGCCAGGAUGAAGUCUGCGUAAAAGUGGAUGGAGGUCCGAACACACGUCUGUUGAAAAAGGCGGUGAUGAGCUGUGGGUAGCGGAGAAAUUCCAAUCGAACUCGGAGAUAGCUGGUUCUCCCCGAAAUAGCUUUAGGGCUAGCCUCGGUAUAGUCUAAUGGAGGUAGAGCACUGAAUCGCUGCGGGGGCGUCAAAGUCUACCAAUGCGUAUCAAACUCCGAAUGCCAUAUAGAUGUUUACCGGGAGUCAGACUGUAUGAGAUAAGUCGGACAGUCAAAAGGGAAACAGCCCAGACCAUCUGCUAAGGUCCCAAAGUGUAUGUUAAGUGGUAAAGGAUGUGGGGUUUCGAAGACAACUAGGAUGUUGGCUCAGAAGCAGCCAUUCAUUCAAAGAGUGCGUAAUAGCUCACUAGUCGAGAGGUCCUGCGCCGAAAAUGUCCGGGGCUGAAACAUAACACCGAAGCAAUGGAAUAUACCGCAAGGUAUGUUGGUAGGGGAGCAUUGAUAACACGAAGAAGCGGUACCGUAAGGAGCCGUGGAGAGUUAUCAAGAGAGAAUGCCGGAAUGAGUAGCGAGAUGAAGGUGAGAAUCCUUCAGGCCGUAUAUCCAAGGUUUCCAGGGUAAAGCUGAUCUUCCCUGGGGAAGUCGGGACCUAAGCUCAGGCUGAGAAGCGUAGGCGAUGGACAACUGGUUGAUAUUCCAGUACCUCUGGCUGUCAGAAAUGUGGGGACACGGAAAUUCAGGAAGUGCCUGUAAAGGAUUCAGGUGCAAGCAUGGUUUAUGCCGGGCAGGCAAAUCCGUCCGGGUAAGUGAACUGUGUGAUGCGGACCGAAAUAUAAGUAGGGAAGCUCCUGGGAGAGCCGUCGAGAAAAGCCGCUAUUGUGUAGUCAGAGCCCGUACCGUAAACCGACACAGGUGGAUGGGGAGAGUAUCCCAAGGCCGGCGGGAGAAGCAUUGUUAAGGAACUCGGCAAAAUGGCCCCGUAAGUUCGCGAUAAGGGGUGCCUGUAGAGAUACAGGCCGCAGAGAAUAGGCUCAAGCAACUGUUUAGCAAAAACACAGGUCUAUGCGAAACCGUAAGGUGAUGUAUAUGGGCUGACGCCUGCCCGGUGCUGGAAGGUUACGGGGAGUGCUUAGGAGCAAUCCGAAGGUACGAACUUAAGCCCCAGUAAACGGCGGCCGUAACUAUAACGGUCCUAAGGUAGCGAAAUUCCUUGUCGGGUAAGUUCCGACCCGCACGAAAGGCGUAAUGAUUUGAGCGCUGUCUCAACAAUGCACCCGGUGAAAUUGAAGUACCAGUGAAGAUGCUGGUUACCUGCGCCAGGACGGAAAGACCCCAUGGAGCUUUACUC